rnacentral:rRNA from 1 species
GUAGGGAAUCUUCCGCAAUGGACGAAAGUCUGACGGAGCAACGCCGCGUGAGUGAUGAAGGCUUUCGGGUCGUAAAACUCUGUUGUUAGGGAAGAACAAGUACAAGAGUAACUGCUUGUACCUUGACGGUACCUAACCAGAAAGCCACGGCUAACUACGUGCCAGCAGCCGCGGUAAUACGUAGGUGGCAAGCGUUAUCCGGAAUUAUUGGGCGUAAAGCGCGCGCAGGCGGUUUCUUAAGUCUGAUGUGAAAGCCCACGGCUCAACCGUGGAGGGUCAUUGGAAACUGGGGAACUUGAGUGCAGAAGAGAAAAGCGGAAUUCCACGUGUAGCGGUGAAAUGCGUAGAGAUGUGGAGGAACACCAGUGGCGAAGGCGGCUUUUUGGUCUGUAACUGACGCUGAGGCGCGAAAGCGUGGGGAGCAAACAGGAUUAGAAACCCUAGUAGUCC